GACAGAGGGGGCAAGCGUUGCUCGGAAUUACUGGGCGUAAAGGGCGUGUAGGCGGAAUGGCAAGUCGGUCGUGAAAUCCUUCGGCUCAACCGAAGAACGUCGAUCGAAACUGCCGUUCUUGAGGAUUGCAGAGGAGACUGGAAUUCCCGGUGUAGCGGUGAAAUGUGUAGAUAUGCGGAGGAACACCGAUGGCGAAGGCAAUCCCCUGGGCCUGCACUGACGCUCAUGCACGAAAGCCGUGGGGAGCAAACAGG
rnacentral:rRNA from 1 species